rnacentral:rRNA from 1 species
AUGGAGGUGGUGAAGAGCCUCCUGAAGCCGAAGCCGACACCGCAGCAGCAGCUGCGUGAGUGGCAGCGCCGCCUCCGCAACGAGGGCCGCAACAUCGAGCACGUGCAGAAGGAGGAGAAGAAGGUGGAGAAGGCCAUCCGGGACGCCGCCAAGGCGCUGGCCAAGGAGCUGGUGCAGUCCACGAAGGCGGUCAACCACCUCUACGAGAACAAGGCCCAGCUCAACUCCAUCUCCAUGCACCUCGGCAAGAUCGUCGUUUCUGCUGGUGUCUUGAAAUGCUUGGGAAUGGCCCGUCCUUAUGGACAUGCAGUUAGUCUGAAUAUGUUCCGGACAUGCACCACUUGGGCAAUGAGUGGAAGAAACCCUUCGCUGGAUCUGUACAUCAGCUCCCAUGAUGUUGCAUUAGCUAUAAUCUGUACUGCUAAAAGAGGACAGAGGACAAGGGCUUCAUGGCCAACCAAGGUGUAUGGUGCUCGCAAGCGACAAACGGAGGCUGUUCGACAUCGGCUGCACAAACCACCACUGUGA